GGCAGACCAAGCGAGAUAGUUAACGCGUAUACCCAAAAUAUUAUGAAUUUGCCAGUAAUUACUGGAUCCCAGCCGUCUAAAGUGCACGAAUUUUACAAAACGCUAUUGUUCAAUGUACAGUCAUUAGAGACCUUGGGUAAACUUCAAGACCUCAAGGGCAAUGUGCGAUCUGUCAUUGAUAAACUUAAAGCGAUUAAAUCUGAUCUUGUAAGGGGCCAGAGUGGGUGGCAAGACUGGGAUUUC